rnacentral:tRNA from 1 species
CAUAGCUCAGUAGGAUAGAGCAAUCGCCUCCUAAGCGAUAGACAGGGGUUCGAAUCCCUUUGG